UACCGAGCGUCGAGAGGCGACGGGAUGAGCGUGCAGGAGUCAGCUGAAGCCUAUUAAGUGACGAAUAACCCCGUCAUCAAGGGC
rnacentral:ncRNA from 2 species